CCAAAUAAUUUCCUUCUCUCUUGCUUGUCACCAUUUCAGUUUCCUGAGUUUCUGGGAAGGCCUGGUUUCCCCAAAGGAAUGAUUUCUGGUAGAAGUCUGAAGGUCUGACCCAAGAAAAAAACUCCAGUAUAGCCAAUGAAUUGAGGACAAGAAGGUUUCCAAUCACUGUGAUCCCAGAAGUCUCACCAAGAGAUGGUGUUGAUUCUUCUCAGUGCAAGAGGGAUCAUGAUUGACUGAUGGCUCCAGUUACUGUUACCAGCACAGGACAGAGCCUGGUGUGGCCAAGAAAGCGGGCCAUUCCUGUGAAUACAAGACUGCCCCAACAGGCAUACUGUUGCUGCGUUUAACCUCACUGAAGCCAGACUAAUCCAGAGAUGUUCUUAGCUUCCUGUGACUCAUAUGAAGGUUAUCAUUUUAGAAGAGACCUUGAAAACAUACUCUGGAUUUAGGGGG